rnacentral:misc_RNA from 1 species
AACUUUUGGCAACGGAUCUCUUGGCUCUCGCAUCGAUGAAGAACGCAGCGAAAUGCGAUAAGUAAUGUGAAUUGCAGAAUUCAGUGAAGCAUCGAAUCUUUGAACGCAUCUUGCGCUCCUUGGUAUUCCGAGGAGCAUGCCUGUUUGAGUGUCAUUCAACUUCUCAACCACAUUCGUUCAUUGAUUGUGGCUUGGAUGGUGGGGGUUUAUUUGCAGGCUUCUUCUGUGAAAACAGAAAGGUCGGCACCCCUGAAAUGUAUCAGAGGUAUCUGAGGCUAUUGCUAUAGGUGUGAUAAUUAUCUAUGCACUUGGUAUGCCGCAUGGAACUGCUUCCAACAGAGAUGAUCUUUUUGAUGAAUUUGACCUCAAAUCAGGUAGGAGUACCCGCUGAUCUUAAGCAUAUCAAUAAGCGGAGGCU